GGAGGAGAGAGACGAGAAAUCGUAACACGUGUCGAACAGAGAGAUGCUCGAAGUUCCUUUUUUGAGAUUCGUGGUGAGUUUAAGAAACGCGUCACGUAGCGAGUUAUAAGCCUGAGUCUGAAGACGAGUCACGGCGGUUCCACAAUCCAAGAUCACUCCUCCACUUCCCGAAGCGUCGACGUCGAAGAUAGCAUCAGGCAUCAUGACUUUUUGACCACCGACGCUGAAUCCACUAAGUCCGACGUAGUAGAAAGUGUCGAUCUUUUGGUUACGGAGAAGCGGCGCCGUCGCGUCUCCGCUACCGAGUUGGACCGAGUUGAAAUCAAGACUCGACGAUUUUCCCGAAUCACGGUCGACGAGGCAGUACGAAAACGACGUCGCUUUCAUUUGAUUGGUUAUCGAUAAAGCUCCACCUCCUAAACCGAGUAAACCGGCUGCUCCGGUAAAGAGACCUUCGUUAUCGUGGCCACAACCCAAAGCGACGUCGUUUAUCUUACCGGAGUUACCAAACGUCACCGUAUCGGUAGCAAGUUCACCGACGGUGAAAGAUCCGUCGCCGUAACUAACUUGGUAGAGACAUUUGUUUGAACGACAAGCGGAGGUUUCGAGAAGAGAGCACUGUGGAGCAGAACAAGUGAGUGAUUUGUAUGUGGAAGAUGAAGUCGGGUUAAAAACCGGGUCGGAUUGUUGGUAACAGUCGGAGCAAGGUUCACACUGGAUCCAAUUCACGUCGCUUCCGGUGUCGAGAACCAAGUACAUCUCUUUCGCCGGAGUUCCGACUCCGAUUCUUGAGAAAUACUCGCCGCUUCCUUGGGAGACUCCGGAGACGACAGGUGUCGUUAGAGCCUCGGGUUGAUAUCGAGUAUCUUCGUUGUUAACGGGUUUG
rnacentral:lncRNA from 1 species